AACGGUCUAUACCUGCGGUACCUGCGGAGGGAUCAUUAUUGAAAACUUUAUAACCAUCAGGGGAGAUGGGAGGAGGAGAUUGGUCUUGUUUCCUGUUUCUUCUUUCUGUCUUUCCUGAUCAAACAAACAUACGUGACUAGCAAAAACAGAGAGAGAGGAUUUUUGGGGGGCUCAGACAACAAAAGUUCUUGGCUGAUAAGUAGCUUGCUGAUUUGGAGUUACAACAGUUCAAUACAACUU
rnacentral:misc_RNA from 1 species